CCAGACUCCUACGGGAGGCAGCAGUGAGGAAUAUUGGUCAAUGGGCGCAAGCCUGAACCAGCCAAGUCGCGUGAGGGAAGACGGCCCUACGGGUUGUAAACCUCUUUUGCCGGGGAGCAAGCCUGAGCACGUGUGCCCAGGCGGAGAGUACCCGGAGAAAAAGCAUCGGCUAACUCCGUGCCAGCAGCCGCGGUAAUACGGAGGAUGCGAGCGUUAUCCGGAUUUAUUGGGUUUAAAGGGAGCGUAGAUGGGUUGUUAAGUCAGUUGUGAAAGUUUGCGGCUCAACCGUAAAAUUGCAAUUGAUACUGGCAGCCUUGAGUACAGUUGAGGUAGGCGGAAUUCGUGGUGUAGCGGUGAAAUGCUUAGAUAUCACGAAGAACUCCGAUUGCGAAGGCAGCCUACUAAACUGCCACUGACAUUGAUGCUCGAAAGUGUGGGUAUCAAACAGGAUUAGAUACCCCAGUAAUG
rnacentral:rRNA from 1 species